GGGCCCUUAGCUCAAUCGGCAGAGCAGGAAGCUCAUAAUUUCUUGGUUACUGGUUCAAGUCCAGUAGGGCCCA
rnacentral:tRNA from 1 species